rnacentral:rRNA from 1 species
UACGUAGGGUGCGAGCGUUAAUCGGAAUUACUGGGCGUAAAGCGUGCGCAGGCGGUUUUGUAAGCCAGAUGUGAAAUCCCCGGGCUCAACCUGGGAAUGGCAUUUGGGACUGCAAGGCUGGAGUACGGCAGAGGAGACUGGAAUUCCUGGUGUAGCAGUGAAAUGCGUAGAGAUCAGGAGGAAUACCGAUGGCGAAGGCAGGUCUCUGGGCUGAUACUGACGCUCAUGCACGAAAGCGUGGGGAGCAAACCGG